rnacentral:rRNA from 1 species
AGAGUUUGAUCAUGGCUCAGAUUGAACGCUGGCGGAAUGCUUUACACAUGCAAGUCGAACGGCAGCACGGGGCAACCUGGUGGCGAGUGGCGAACGGGUAAGUAAUACAUCGGAACGUGCCCAAUCGUGGGGGAUAACGUAGCGAAAGUUACGCUAAUACCGCAUACGAUCUACGGAUGAAAGCGGGGGAUCGCAAGACCUCGCGCGAAUGGAGCGGCCGAUGUCAGAUUAGGUAGUUGGUGGGGUAAAGGCUCACCAAGCCGACGAUCUGUAGCUGGUCUGAGAGGACGACCAGCCACACUGGGACUGAGACACGGCCCAGACUCCUACGGGAGGCAGCAGUGGGGAAUUUUGGACAAUGGGCGCAAGCCUGAUCCAGCCAUUCCGCGUGCAGGAUGAAGGCCUUCGGGUUGUAAACUGCUUUUGUACGGAACGAAACGGUUCUCUCUAAUACAGGUGGCUAAUGACGGUACCGUAAGAAUAAGCACCGGCUAACUACGUG